rnacentral:lncRNA from 10 species
GACAGAUUAAACACCAACUAUGUGCCAGGCCAGGCCCUGUGCUAGAUGCUGGGGCAGUGACAGACCCUGAGUGGAUGGGAGGCAUCAGAGGGGUAAGUAGGAAAAAGCUAGGGGAAGGGAAGGAUCCCACAGAAGGGACUGCACAGGCCACCACAUGGAGACUUGAGAGAGAGGAGCAAACAGAGAACAUGAAGGAGCUCCAGGCUGCUGGAGAGCAAACCCUCCUGCAAAGAAUGAGUGGGGAGAUCUGAGAAUCGAUACUGAACAGCUUCAGUACUACGAUGUCAUAAUGGGGCUGUGAGCUCAGCCGAAAGCCCCCCGCCCAGUUUUUUUUGGAAGUGGUCAUAGAAUCUCUCUGGAGAAACAACAUGGAAAUGGAGACCAAAAGAGGGAAGGAGGGAUGCCACCAGAUGACACUGGGAUCCCGGAAGACGGAACACUGUGUGCAACGGGCAAAGAACUUUUCAAAAGGGAUUUCAACCUCUGACCACCUGGAGACAGGCGACUGGCGCUCAUUGUAAAUGCACCGACAUGACAGGGAACAGCUGCUGGGGAGGUGGAGACGGGUGCCGGGAGAGACAGGAAACCCCAGAGGCUUGGAAAUCCAGGAGCCACAGGAAGCAGUGAGCUUUCUGCGGAGCCGGAUCCGGUGGAGCCAAUUCACCAGCAGGUCCCGGCAGCAACUCUUCUACAACAGAUUCCUGCCCGUCCCUGUGCCCCAUCGCCCCCCUGCCGUCAAUCUCCACCUCAAGGGAGCCAGACCAAGCCUUUCUGUGUGUAGCGCACAUCUCUCCUGCGUAGAGCUCACCUAGUGGCUUCCAUAGCUUUUUUUUUUUUUUUUUUGGAGACAGGGUCUUGCCCUGUCACCCAGGCUGGGGUACGGUGGCAUGAUCAUGGCUCACUGCAGCUCCCUCCUGGGCUCAAGUGAUCCUCCUGCCUCAACCUCUCAAGUAGCUGGGACUACAGUUGUGCACCACCCCACCCAGCUAAUUAUUAUUUUUUGUAGAUGUGGGAUCUUGCUAUGUUGCCCAGGCUGGUCUUGAACUCCUGGCCUCAAGCAACCUUCUCACUUCAGCCUCCCUAAGUGCUGGAAUUAUAGGUAUGAGCCAUCCCGCCAGUCUUCCGUGGCUUUUCUAACAAUAUCCUUGAAGGACCUCUGUGAAUCCCUUUCCCAAUGUCUAUCUGCACUGUCCCUGUCCCAGGCUGAUCCUGCUCAGACACGCUGGCUUGCUUUCUGGUCCUCUCACAAGCCAACCCUGUCCCCACCCCAGGGCCUUUGCACUUAUGGUUUUGCCUCUACCUAAAUACCCUAUACCAGUGCUGUCUGAUAGAAAUAUGUAAUAAUGGGGGCCGGGCGUGGUGGCUCACACCUGUAAUCCCAGCACUUUUGGGAGGCCGAGAUGGGCAGAUCACGAGGACAGGAGAUCGAGACCAUCCUG